rnacentral:snoRNA from 1 species
AGGUCCAUUCUAAUUCCCUGCAGGUCAGUGCCAGUACCUGCUGGGUUUCGCUUGUGGACCACAUUAAACUGGAGAACUUCUGCAUGUAUGAGCUUACUGCUAGUCUGCUCAUGAUGUGGUUUUCUGGACAUGU